GAUGAACGCUAGCGGCAGGCUUAACACAUGCAAGUCGAGGGGUAGCAGGAGAUAGUUUACUAUUUUGCUGACGACCGGCGCACGGGUGAGUAACGCGUAUACAAUUUACCUUUUACAGGAGGAUAGCCCAGAGAAAUUUGGAUUAAUACUCCAUGGUAUUACGAGAUCGCAUGGUUUUGUAAUUAAAGUUUCGGCGGUAGAAGAUGAGUAUGCGUCCUAUUAGCUAGUUGGUAAGGUAACGGCUUACCAAGGCGACGAUAGGUAGGGGUCCUGAGAGGGAGAUCCCCCACACUGGUACUGAGACACGGACCAGACUCCUACGGGAGGCAGCAGUGAGGAAUAUUGGGCAAUGGAGGCAACUCUGACCCAGCCAUGCCGCGUGCAGGAAGACUGCCCUAUGGGUUGUAAACUGCUUUUAUACAGGAAGAAACUUACCCACGUGUGGGUAACUGACGGUACUGUACGAAUAAGGACCGGCUAACUCCGUGCCAGCCGCCGCCGUAACAC
rnacentral:rRNA from 1 species